rnacentral:rRNA from 1 species
UACAGAGGUCCCAAGCGUUGUUCGGAUUCACUGGGCGUAAAGGGUGCGUAGGCGGUCGGGUAAGUCUGAUGUGAAAUCUCACAGCUUAACUGUGAAACUGCAUUGGAUACUACUCGGCUUGAGAGUUGGAGGGGGGACUGGAAUUCUUGGUGUAGCAGUGAAAUGCGUAGAUAUCAAGAGGAACACCAGUGGCGAAGGCGAGUCCCUGGACAGCUUCUGACGCUGAGGCACGAAAGCUAGGGGAGCAAACUGG